ACACGACCGUACCGCAAACCGACACUGGUGCGCGAGAUGAGUAUUCUAAGGCGCUUGAGAGAACUCAGGAGAAGGAACUCGGCAAAUUGACACCGUAACUUCGGAAGAAGGUGUGCCUUUAGUAGGUGAACCUGUACAAGGGGAGCCCAAUGAGGUUGCAAAAAAUCGGUGGCUGCGACUGUUUAAUAAAAACACAGCACUCUGCAAACACGAAAGUGGACGUAUAGGGUGUGACGCCUGCCCGGUGCUGGAAGAUUAAAUGAUGGGGUGCAAGCUCUUGAUUGAAGUCCCAGUAAACGGCGGCCGUAACGAUAACGGUCCUAAGGUAGCGAAAUUCCUUGUCGGGUAAGUUCCGACCUGCACGAAUGGCGUAACGAUGGCCACACUGUCUCCUCCUGAGACUCAGCGAAGUUGAAAUGUUUGUGAUGAUGCAAUCUCCCCGCGGAAAGACGGAAAGACCCCAUGAACCUUUACUGUAGCUUUGUAUUGGACUUUGAACAGAUCUGUGUAGGAUAGGUGGGAGGCUUUGAAGUGUGGUCGCUAGAUCGCAUGGAGCCAACGUUGAAAUACCACCCUGGUGUGUUUGAGGUUCUAACCUAGGCCCGUAAUCCGGGUCGGGGACAGUGCAUGGUAGGCAGUUUGACUGGGGCGGUCUCCUCCCAAAGCGUAACGGAGGAGUUCGAAGGUACGCUAGGUACGGUCGGACAUCGUGCUAAUAGUGCAAUGGCAUAAGCGUGCUUAACUGCGAGACUGACAAGUCGAGCAGAUGCGAAAGCAGGACAUAGUGAUCCGGUGGUUCUGUAUGGAAGGGCCAUCGCUCAACGGAUAAAAGGUACUCUGGGGAUAACAGGCUGAUACCGCCCAAGAGUUCAUAUCGACGGCGGUGUUUGGCACCUCGAUGUCGGCUCAUCUCAUCCUGGGGCUGUAGCCGGUCCCAAGGGUAUGGCUGUUCGCCAUUUAAAGAGGUACGUGAGCUGGGUUUAAAACGUCGUGAGACAGUUUGGUCCCUAUCUUCCGUGGGCGCUGCAGAUUUGAGGAAGCCUGCUCCUAGUACGAGAGGACCGGAGUGGACACACCUCUGGUGUAUCGGUUGUCACGCCAGUGGCAUUGCCGAGUAGCUAUGUGUGGAAGAGAUAACCGCUGAAAGCAUCUAAGCGGGAAACUCGUUUCAAGAUGAGAUCUGCCGGGGCCUUGAGCCCCCUAAAGAGUCGUUCAAGACCAGGACGUUGAUAGGUCGGGUGUGGAAGCGCAGUAAUGCGUUAAGCUAACCGAUACUAAUUGCUCGUGCGGCUUGACCUA
rnacentral:rRNA from 1 species